CGCCUCUUGCUUACUAAGUGUAAGAGGUCCCGCCUGCCCUGUGACUAUGUGUUUAACGGCCGCGGUAUUUUAACCGUGCGAAGGUAGCGCAAUCACUUGUCUUUUAAAUAAAGACCUGUAUGAAUGGCACAACGAGGGCUUAACUGUCUCCUUCCCUUAAUCAAUGAAAUUUAUCUUCCCGUGCAGAGGCGGGAAUAACUACACAAGACGAGAAGACCCUAUGGAGCUUUAAAUACAUAAAAGAAUAACAUCCCUAACCCUGAUUAAUGGGCAAAAUUGAGUUAACAUCUGAUAUAUAUUUUUGGUUGGGGCGACCGCGGAGUAAAAACUAACCCCCGUGAGGAGUGGGUUUAACCUAGAACUAAGAAUAACUAUUCUAAGUACCAAAAGAUUUGACCUGUAGAUCCGGCAAAGCCGAUCAACGAACCGAGUUACCCUAGGGAUAACAGCGCAAUCCCCUCCAAGAGUCCCUAUCGACGAGGGGGUUUACGACCUCGAUGUUGGAUCAGGACAUCCUAAUGGUGCAACCGCUAUUAAGGGUUCGUUUGUUCAACGAUUAAAGUCCU
rnacentral:rRNA from 1 species